GUGAAUCAUCGAAUUUUUGAACGCAAAUGGCACUUUCUGGUAUUCCGGAAAGUAUGCCUGUUUGAGGGUCAGUUAAAUUAAAAUCGGAGUUGUUGCUACCUGGAGUGGUGUGUGAUGCACCUGAAUUGAGCCGUUCUUUACAUAUGGUUUAUGUGACUGAAAAUUAUGUUCGAUUUUUGAACGUAUAUAAUUUAUUACUUACGAUUGUAAUAUCACAUAUUAGGUGCGUUCAUUUAUAUGA
rnacentral:misc_RNA from 1 species